UCCAUCACCCGUCCAGACGCCGAUCAAGCUGCCGGACUCCACCACCAACGCCAGAGAAGCCGGUCCCGCUUGCCCUUGCUGCUCUGCCCCGACACCUGCAGCGCCUCCACUGGAGUCCGAUCCGCUCAGAUCCUCUGCCCAGAUUUGCUCGAGCACCAGCGGCACCCCCCUCCGAAUUGCCAGAUCUCGCCGGAGCUCCGCACCUCCGCAACCUCUGAUUGCGACACCCCUGUUCCGCCGGUUGUCCCUGCUGCUCGGGUGCCGCCCCGUUCCUGCCG
rnacentral:lncRNA from 1 species